GCAUUCCAGGCUGGCAUCAACCCCAGGCUACAGCUCAGACUUCAUUAGAGGCCCCAUGAAGGACAGUGAAAGAAUCCUGAGCAAUUCCGAGAACUAUGAGGCAGCUCUCCAUCAACACCUGAGGGCAGAGCUGAGAAAACACAGGGGAAGGAUCAUACCAAGCAAGGUUUCUCUGGCCUGUCCCCUGAAGAGACCGGGAUGGACCCAGCAGCCUUUUCCUAGCUAAUUUUAGGCACAUCCAUUGUUUUAGCUGGAAGAGACAACAUCUAAUCUGCUAUCUGGAAGAUCACUACAAGUAUCACAUGACCCACUCACGCUACAGGUGCAAGACCAGCUCUUGAGUGCUGCUCAAAAGGCUUGUGAAAAUAUUAAGGGUCCUCAAAGAAAAUGUGGUAACAGGUUGGCUGAAGCCUGCAGUCAGGUACUGGACCAUACUCACCUAUCCCUGAGCAUCAGGCAGCAGCAUGCUCUGCUCACAGUUCUCACUGCAAGGCCGGCCUUUCAUCAGCCUUUCAUCGGCCCAGCCUUCAUCGUACUUGUCGCUCGGUUGCCAAGUGCAAUUGUCAACAUAAAGAAAAUGUGUUUAAAUUUCAGGAUGGUUGUUUUGAGAGUAAUGAGACCAAUGUCUGUCUGCAUCAGAACAUCCCACUGUGUUGAGUUAUCUCUGCUCAUCUUCUCAAACUGCAACCUCAUUUUACAAAGCUCUCACCCGCUGGGAUCCAGCUCUUCUACGAAGCCCUUUCCAACCACGCAUUGAAGAAUGCCUGCUCCGGAGUCCUGUGCUGUGAUGUUUGGUAACCCUCUUGUGCGAUUAUGAAAGUAUUUGAUGUAACGCUGUCUUCACCCCAGGGACUGAGACUCACACUACCUGUAAAUCCUUCUCAAACCCCAUCACACCCCACAGUCCCUGUGGAGUGUUCCCGACGAGAGACAAAUAUAAUGUCUUUUCCUUCCACAACUGCCGGAACACUGAGGAGUGUUUGUCAAUGGAAUGGAAGGAACUUGUGAAAACAGCAAAGUACCAACUAGAACAAACAUGGUCGGUCAGCCAUGGGAGGAAAGAAACAGGUCAUGUUAUACUUUGCUCAGACUGCGUGUAGUAGAGCAUCAUGCAGAGAACUUAUAUACACCAAUAACGACAGCAGAGAUCUGGAGUCGGCUCUCCUGAGCUCUGUGCCUUGCACUCAAGAGUGUAUGAUAAGGUUUUGAAAAUUGUAUAUCAAGGAGCUACAUAAUUUUAAAAGUAAAGAUUGACCCUGCUUUUCCUAAUACUCUGUUGUUUUCCUCUGUCUUGAUUAAACAUGAUGAAAAUGCUAUCCUUAUUCAGACUCAUCACAGAGUACUUUCAGGUUUAAAAAAGGAACCCCAGAAACAGAAUGUUUAUAAAGAAAGGGAAUUCUAAAAUCAAAACUGAUAUGAGUCGGGUGCGGUGUCACACACCUGUAAUCCCAGAACUCAGGGAGGCAGAGGCAGGUGGAUCUCUGUGAGUUGGAGACCAGCCUGGUCUUCGAAGCCAGUCCAGGAUAGCCAAGGCUACACAGAGAAGCCCUGUCUGGAAAAACAAAAACAAGCAAACAAACAAACAAAAAAAUGAUAUGAAGUUCAGUGUUUUAGAAUGAUAUAGUUAAAAAAAAAAAAAAAAGAAAGUCUGCUAUGGUGUCCUGGCUAGACUAAAUUUGAAUUAAUAUUUUAAAUCUUUAAUGUCCAAAUUGUUUUGCAUUUCUAACACAUAAAAUAGUCUAGAGGGGGCUCAGUUUCCACCACCUGAGUGUGCAAUCAGAUGAACUUUGAACACUUUAUUUGAAUGAAGAGACACACUCAGGAAAAAAAAAAACACUCUCCCUUAGGUAUUUUAUUUGCAAUUAAAACAAAAAUUAUAAUCAGACAUACUAACAGUUGAAGUCCUAAGCAUAAAGCUUGCUAAUGUUGAUUGGUAACUUUUGUGCCCCAAACCUACUUUGCCCAGAGAGUAUUUGCAGUUUCGAUGUUUCCAGCUUUCAAUGAAGUUUCCCAUUUUUAUAGAAUAUAACCUAUAUUCUAUAUAGAUUAUAUUUAGGCACCGUGAGCACCUGUGUGUUCACAGAUACGUGGGUCCUGAGAGAGCCUGUGUGUGUCAAACAACACGGCUGAGACGGUCACUGAUCCGAAGGCUGGAACGUUCCCGUCUGUGACAUCAACGUAAAGACUUUGUGGCCAUCCCAGUCCACGACUCUGAGACACAAAUCUACAUGUUGAUGCCCCUUGCUGCACUGAUGAAACCUCGUGGUCAUUUCGGCUGGCGCAGUUCUGUUAUCCCUUUGCCUAAAAUAACAAGUCUAAAGUUUCAGCAACAAAAUUUGGAGACAGAUUUUCUGUCAAGAGCUCCAACCUCUCUUUCAACUCCAAGGAAGGUGUGUUUGUGCUGAGGAGAUAGAGGCUGGGGCAGAGCCAGAACACAGACCAUGAGUAUGCUCUGAUCAUGUGACAAGGAGUUUGUGGACACAGCAGCCAAGCUCCAGUGACAUGGGAUUAGACAACACAGAUGGGCAACUCUGAGCAAAGUACCUGGCACUCUGUGCAGGGUACCAGGAGGACUGAGAUCCAGUUGCCCUCAGUAGCAGAAGGCUGAGUACAUUGCUGAUGGAGACCCCUCUCUCUCCCUCCCUCCUUCCCAUAAAGGCUCCUCUCUCUCUCCUCUCCUUCCUCCUACCCCUUCCCUGGGAUCACUGUUCAAAU